UUACGACCAUAUCACGUUGAAACAUCAUUUCCCAUACGAUCACCGAAGAUAAGCAACGUCAAGUCUGGUCAGUAUCUAGAUGGGUAACCGCUUGGGAAUACCAGGUGUU